AGAUUUUUCACACAGAAGUAUAGAACUUCGCAAUACUUGCAUUAUUGUUGGAUCUAUUUGUAAAACAAUGUAGAUGAUGCUCCAGUUCAACUUUAUCUCAUCUAGAGCUCACAAGGAAGAUCCUCCUACUACUUAUGAGGUUGGAGCAGCCAUUGAUGCAUGGCGGAAUAAUAGCUCGUGGGAAGGUGUUGUUUCUACUGCAAAGUCCCCCAUCAACAGUGACAAUUACCAUCUUUUCUGACUGAUUUAGGCGAACCCUGACUAUGCACCUGACUACUGGUGUGGUGUAAGUGCAAGAUCAUGGAAAUCUCCGAAAGACGUUGGAAAGUCCACUACAAGGGCAUGAAGGAUGAAGACAGAUCUGGCAUAUUGGAGAUAAGCUGAGCAUGAGACAAUGUGACCGACUUACCAUCCGCAUGUGUCCUCCUAAAGAAGAUCCUUCUACUACUUAUGAGUUUGGAGCAACAGUUGAUGCAUGGCUGAAUAAUGGCUGGUGAGAAGGUUUUAUUUUUACUAGAGAGCCCUUCUCCAACAAUGACAAUUACCAUGUUUUUUUUACAUGGUACGUUAUGCCCGCAAAUUUGGAUGCAUUUUCCCUUGUCAUGUCAAAACAUUUGUUUAAUAAAAUGGAUUUUUUCAGGUUUAGGUGAUCCCAAAUUCAUAACUCUCUGCUGGAGAAAUUUGAGACCUUGUGGGGAUUGAGUUGACAAUAUAUGAGUUGUAGUACAUCUUUUACGUGAUGUCCUUGCCUCUAUACAGUCAUGUUAUACAAAUAUGGGAGAAUGAGGUAGAAAUAUGUCCUUGACUAGUAAUAUUGUUGGAUAUAAAGAAAAGCUUGUAUCUUGUUAUG